GUCAUAUGCUUGUCUCAAAGAUUAAGCCAUGCAUGUCUCAGUACAAGCCAAAUUAAGGUGAAACCGCGAAAGGCUCAUUAAAUCAGUUAUGGUUCCUUAGAUCGUACCCACAAUUACUUGGAUAACUGUGGUAAUUCUAGAGCUAAUACAUGCAAAUAGAGUUCCGACCGGAGACGGAAGGAGUGCUUUUAUUAGAUCAAAACCAAUCGGUGGCGAGCGGUCGCUCGUUAUCGUACAACUUGGUGACUCUGAAUAACUUUACGCUGAUCGCACGGUCGUCGCACCGGCGACGCAUCUUUCAAAUGUCUGCCUUAUCAACUGUCGAUGGUAGGUUCUGCGCCUACCAUGGUUGUAACGGGUAACGGGGAAUCAGGGUUCGAUUCCGGAGAGGGAGCCUGAGAAACGGCUACCACAUCCAAGGAAGGCAGCAGGCGCGCAAAUUACCCACUCCCGGCACGGGGAGGUAGUGACGAAAAAUAACGAUACGGGACUCAUCCGAGGCCCCGUAAUCGGAAUGAGUACACUCUAAACCCUUUAACGAGGAUCAAUUGGAGGGCAAGUCUGGUGCCAGCAGCCGCGGUAAUUCCAGCUCCAAUAGCGUAUAUUAAAGUUGUUGCGGUUAAAAAGCUCGUAGUCGAAUUUGUGUCUCGCGCCGCCGGUUCAUCGUCCGCGGUGUUAACUGGCGAGUCGCGAGACGUCCUGCCGGUGGGCUUAGCUCGCGAGGGCGGCCCAACUCAAUCCUGCCGCGGUGCUCUUCAUUGAGUGUCGAGGUGGGCCGGCACGUUUACUUUGAACAAAUUAGAGUGCUUAAAGCAGGCUAAAACUUCGCCUGAAUACUGUGUGCAUGGAAUAAUGGAAUAGGACCUCGGUUCUAUUUUGUUGGUUUUCGGAACCCCGAGGUAAUGAUUAAUAGGAACGGAUGGGGGCAUUCGUAUUGCGACGUUAGAGGUGAAAUUCUUGGAUCGUCGC
rnacentral:rRNA from 1 species